CCUACGGGAGGCAGCAGUGAGGAAUAUUGGUCAAUGGACGAGAGUCUGAACCAGCCAAGUAGCGUGAAGGAUGACUGCCCUAUGGGUUGUAAACUUCUUUUAUAUGGGAAUAAAAUGUUUCACGUGUGGGAUUUUGUAUGUACCCUAUGAAUAAGGAUCGGCUAACUCCGUGCCAGCAGCCGCGGUAAUACGGAGGAUCCGAGCGUUAUCCGGAUUUAUUGGGUUUAAAGGGAGCGUAGGUGGAUUGUUAAGUCAGUUGUGAAAGUUUGCGGCUCAACCGUAAAAUUGCAGUUGAAACUGGCAGUCUGGAGUACAGUAGAGGUGGGCGGAAUUCGUGGUGUAGCGGUGAAAUGCUUAGAUAUCACGAAGAACUCCGAUUGCGAAGGCAGCUCACUGGACUGCAACUGACACUGAGGCUCGAAAGUGUGGGUAUCAAACAGGAUUAGAUACCCUAGUAGUC
rnacentral:rRNA from 1 species